rnacentral:rRNA from 1 species
UUCCGGUUGAUCCUGCCGGAGGCGACCGCUUUGGGAGUUCGAUUAAGCCAUGCGAGUCGUGAGUCUUAGGGACUCGGCAUACUGCUCAGUAACACGUGGAUAACCUGCCCUAUCGUCUGGAAUAACCUCGGGAAACUGAGAAUAAGGCCGGAUAGUUCACAAUGCCUGGAACGGUUUGUGAAUCAAGGUAGGAUGGGUCUGCGGCGUAUCAGGUUGUAGGGGGUGUAAAGGACCCCCUAGCCUUCGACGCGUACGGGUGUUGGGAGACAUAGCCCGGAGAUGGAUUCUGAGACACGAAUCCAGACCCUACGGGGUGCAGCAGGCGCGAAAACUUCACACUGCAGGAAACUGUGAUGAGGGAACUCCUAGUGCAUGCACUAUGUGUAUGUAGAUCCUACUCUUAACAAGUAGAGGGAAAGGGCUGGGAAAGACCGGUGCCAGCCGCCGCGGUAAUACCGGCAGCUCAAGUGGUCGUCGCUUUUAUCGGGCCUAAAACGUCCGUAGCCUGUUUGGUAAAUCUGUGGGUAAAUCAAUCCGCUCAACGGAUUGAAUUCUGCAGAGACUGCCAGACUAGGGACCGGGAGAGGUGUGGGAUACUCGAGGGGUAGGGGUAAAAUCCUGUCAUCCUUCGAGGACCACCAGUUGCGAAGGCGCCACACUGGAACGGAUCCGACGGUCAGGGACGAAGCCUAGGGGCACGAACCGGAUUAGAUACCCGGGUAGUCCUAGGUGUAAACGCUGUGAACUUGGUGUCGGGGGUCCGCAAGGGGUCCCCGGUGCCGGAGUGAAGAUGUUAAGUUCACUGCCUGGGGAGUACGGUCGCAAGGCUGAAACUUAAAGGAAUUGGCGAGGCAGCAC